rnacentral:rRNA from 1 species
AUUGAACGCUGGCGGCAUGCUUUACACAUGCAAGUCGAACGGUAACAGGGAGCUUGCUCCGCUGACGAGUGGCGAACGGGUGAGUAAUGCAUCGGAACGUACCCAGUCGUGGGGGAUAACGUAGCGAAAGUUACGCUAAUACCGCAUACGUCCUGAGGGAGAAAGCGGGGGACCGUAAGGCCUCGCGCGAUUGGAGCGGCCGAUGUCGGAUUAGCUAGUUGGUAGGGUAAAGGCCUACCAAGGCGACGAUCCGUAGCGGGUCUGAGAGGAUGAUCCGCCACACUGGGACUGAGACACGGCCCAGACUCCUACGGGAGGCAGCAGCGGGGAAUCUUGCGCAAUGGGCGAAAGCCUGACGCAGCAACGCCGCGUGGGGGAUGAAGGCUCUCGGGUUGUAAACCCCUUUCAGCAGGGACGAAUCAAGACGGUACCUGCAGAAGAAGCCCCGGCUAACUACGUGCCAGCAGCCGCGGUAAU